rnacentral:lncRNA from 1 species
UUAUAAACCAACCCUACCUCGCUUUCCCCAAAUCCGUUCUCUCUCUAUCUCUCCUCUCUCUUGUCGCCUUCACAACUGUCGUCGUCGUUGCCACCGCCACAACCAACACCACCAUACCUCACCAACACCACCCACACAAAACCCUAAUUAUUUUCAUACUCUCUAUUUUCUCUCUUUUCUCUCUAUUCCACUAGAAGCCAUCGCUGGGAACCAUUGCCGGAAAGCGUCGCCAACGACAUCGUUGCAUGAUUUGGUUGUUGCUACGAUGGCCCAAUUGUUUAAACCCAAUAUAAGAAACAAGGUAGAACUGUGCAUGAAGUGGAAUUGCGCUACUUCGAGCAAUAGUAGAGCCGCCUCGCCUAGAGGUACUCCGAUCGAGAGGGAGGCGGUGGUUUCGGCACCAGACGAGGAAAAGAAGGAGACUUAACGUUNGAGGGAAUAAGUGAAUGUGAGGUGAUUUUUAGUUGUAUGAAAAUUGGGAAUUAAUUGUAUUAUUAAUAUUGAAUUAAUAUCUAAUUUUUGUAUAAACAAACUUCAAAUCUGGUUUUCUAAAUUAGAUCUUGAAAGAUAUGGUUAGGUGUAAUUUUCACUAAUUAAU